rnacentral:rRNA from 1 species
UGAGGAAUAUUGGUCAAUGGGCGGAAGCCUGAACCAGCCAAGUCGCGUGAGGGAAGACGGUCCUAUGGAUUGUAAACCUCUUUUGCAGGGAGCAAGACGCGGCACGUGUACCGUGCUGGAGAGUACCUGAGAAAAAGGCAUCGGCUAACUCCGUGCCAGCAGCCGCGGUAAUACGGAGGAUGCGAGCGUUAUCCGGAUUUAUUGGGUUUAAAGGGUGCGUAGGCGGACUGGUAAGUCAGCGGUAAAAAUUGCGGUGCUCAACGCCGUAGUGCCGUUGAAACUGCCGGUCUUGAGUGAGCGAGAAGUAUGCGGAAUGCGUGGUGUAGCGGUGAAAUGCAUAGAUAUCACGCAGAACUCCGAUUGCGAAGGCAGCAUACCGGCGCUCAACUGACGCUGAGGCACGAAAGCGUGGGGGAUCGAACAGGAUUAGAUACC